rnacentral:rRNA from 1 species
AACGAACGCUGGCGGCAUGCCUAACACAUGCAAGUCGAACGAGAUCUUCGGGUCUAGUGGCGCACGGGUGCGUAACGCGUGGGAAUCUGCCCUUUGGUUCGGAAUAACAGAUGGAAACGACUGCUAAUACCGGAUGAUGACGAAAGUCCAAAGAUUUAUCGCCAGAGAAUGAACCCGCGUAGGAUUAGUUAGUUGGUGUGGUAAAGGCGCACCAAGGCGACGAUCCUUAGCUGGUCUGAGAGGAUGAUCUGCCACACUGGGACUGAGACACGGCCCAGACUCCUAGGGGAGGCAGCAGUGGGGAAUAUUGGACAAUGGGCGAAAGCCUGAUCCAGCAAUGCCGCGCGAGUGAUGAAGGCCUUAGGGUUGUAAAGCUCUUUUACCAGGGAUGAUAAUGACAGUACCGGGAGAAUAAGCUCCGGCUAACUCCGUGCCAGCCGCCGCCGUAA